GAAUGGGGUGCCCAAUAUUGGGGUGCCUGAGCCUCAAGAUAUUGGGGUGCCUGGGCCCUGAGGUGCCCAGGAUUGGGGUGCCCAGGCCCCAAGAGAUUGGGGUGCCCAGUAUUGGGGUGCCUGGGCCUCAAGAAAUUGGGGUGCCUGGGCCCUGAGGAACUGGGAUGCCCAGUAUUGGGGUGCCUGGGCCCCGAGGAACUGGGGUGCUCAGGAUGGGGGUGUCCAGAACUGGGGUGCUCAGGAUGGGGGUGCCAGACCCCCGAGGGACAGGGGUACCCCAAAAAUGAAGAAGGAUGAGGUGGGACGACACACCAAGGCACCGAGACCCAGAGGAACCGGGGGGUGCUCCAUCACAGGGCUGUCACCUCCCCCUGAGGACCUGCUGUCCACCCAAGAGGAGAUACAACCUUGCUGAUGGUUCUCCAUGGAGACGUCACCACCCCUUGGGAUCACCACACUUUGGAGGCCUCAGGGGGUGUCACCACCACUUGGGGACCUCCCCAGAGCUGUCACCUCCCCCCGGAGACCUCAGGAGGUGUCACCUCCACUUGGGGACUGUCACCUCCCCCUGGGGACCUGCUGUCUCCACCCAAGAGCAGCCACCACCUUGGGAAUCCCCCGUGGUGGCCACCUUCUCCAUGGAGAUGCCACCACCCCUUGGGAUCACCACCCUUUGGGGAUCUCAGGGGGUGUCACCUCCCCUUGGGGACCUUCCCAGGGCUGUCACCUUCCCCCGAGAACCUGCUGUCCACCCAAGAGGAGACACAACCUUGCUGAUGGUCAACUUCUCCAUGGAGGUGCCACCACCGCUUGGGAUCACACUUUGGAGGCCUCAGAGGGUGUCACCUCCUCUUGGGGACCUCCCCAUGACUGUCCCCUCCCCUUGGGGACCUUCCCAGGGCUGUCACCUCCCCCCAAGGACCUGCUGUCCACCCAAGAGGAGGCACAACCUUGCUGAUGGCCACCUUCUCCAUGGAGGUGCCACCACCCCUUGGGAUCACCACACUUUGGAGGCCUCAGGGGGUGUCACCUCCACUUGGGGACCUCCCCAGGGCUGUCACCUCCCCCUGAGGACCUCAGGAGGUGUCACCUCCCUGUGGGGACUGUCACAUCCCCCUGGGGACCUGGUGUCCACCCAAGAGCAGCCACCACCUUGGGAAUCCCCUGUGGUGGCCACCUUCUCCAUGGAGGUGCCACCACCCCUUGGGAUCACCACCCUUUGGGGACCUCAAGGACCUCCCCACAACUGUCACCUCCCCUUGGUGCCUGUCACCUCUCCCUGGGGACCAGUUGUCCACCCAAGAGCAGCCACCACCUUGGGAACACCUCUUGGUGGCCACCUUCUCUCUGGAGAUGCCACCACCCCUUGGGAUCACCACCCCUUGGGGAUCUCAGGGGGUGUCACCUCCCCUCGGGGACCUCCCCAGGGCUGUCACCUCCCCUUGGUGGCUGUCACCUCCCUAUGGGGACCUGCUGUCCACCCAAGAGCAGACACAACCUUCCUGAUGGCCACCUUCUCCAUAGAGAUUCCACCACCCCUUGGGGACCUCAUGUGGUGUCACCUCCACUUGGGGAACCACCCAGGGACGUUACCUCCCUUCAGGGGGUGUCACCUCUUCUUGGGGACCUCCCCAGGCCUGUCUCCUCCCCUUGGGGACCCCCCGAGGACCUGCUGUCCACCCAAGAGGAGGCACAACCUUCCUGAUGGUCACAUUCUCCAUGGAGGUGCCACCAUUCCUUGGGUCACCACAUUUUUGGGGACCUCUAGAACCUCCCCCAUGAUUGUCACCUCCCCUUAGGGACCUCCCCAGGGCUGUCACCUCCCCCCGAGGACCUGCUGUCCACCCAAGAGGAGAUACAACCUUGCUGAUGGUUCUCCAUGGAGACGUCACCACCCCUUGGGAUCACCACACUUUGGAGGCCUCAGGGGGUGUCACCACCACUUGGGGACCUCCCCAGAGCUGUCACCUCCCCCCGGAGACCUCAGGAGGUGUCACCUCCACUUGGGGACUGUCACCUCCCCCUGGGGACCUGCUGUCUCCACCCAAGAGCAGCCACCACCUUGGGAAUCCCCCGUGGUGGCCACCUUCUCCAUGGAGAUGCCACCACCCCUUGGGAUCACCACCCUUUGGGGAUCUCAGGGGGUGUCACCUCCCCUUGGGGACCUCCCCAGGGCUGUCACCUUCCCCUGAGAACCUGCUGUCCACCCAAGAGGAGGCACAACCUUCUUGAUGGUCAACUUCUCCAUGGAGGUGCCACCAUACCUUGGGUCACCACCUUUUGGGGACCUCAAGGACCUCCCCACGACUGUCACCUCCCCUUGGGGACCUUCCCAGGGCUGUCACCUCCCCCCAAGGACCUGCUGUCCACCCAAGAGGAGGCACAACCUUGCUGAUGGCCACCUUCUCCAUGGAGGUGCCACCACCCCUUGGGAUCACCACCCUUUGGGGACCUCAAGGACCUCCCCACAACUGUCACCUCCCCUUGGUGCCUGUCACCUCUCCCUGGGGACCAGUUGUCCACCCAAGAGUAGCCACCACCUUGGGAAUCCCCCGUGGUGGCCACUUUCUCCCUGGAGAUGCCACUACCCCUUGGGUCACCACACUUCGGGGACCUCAGGGGGGGUCACCUCCACUUGGGGACCUCCCCAGAGCUGUCACCUCCCCUCGGAGACCUCAGGAGGUGUCACCUCCCUGUGGGGACUGUCACCUCCCCCUGGGGACCUGCUGUCUCCACCAAAGAGCAGCCACCACCUUGGGAAUCCCCUGUGGUGGCCACCUUCUCCAUGGAGGUGCCACC
rnacentral:lncRNA from 1 species